ACCUCAUCAGCCGCAUGUUUCUUCUUCCUCAAUCUCACAGCGCCAUUUUCACUCUUCACUCUCUUUAUCCUCUUCUUCAAACCCUUACCGAAGGGCAACAAACAUAUGGUCGAAACCCUCACAACUGAGAGCUUUCAAGGCGCUUCAAUCUCAACAAACAACACCGCCUGGGCUCCGAUAAAGAUUUGUCAAUGGCAACGAGAAUGGCUCAACAAUUGCUUGACUUUAGUUGGUAUGCAGCGACUAUUGGCUUGAGCUGGUGUAGGUUGUGUUGGGCUCCAGCUAUAGUUGUAAUUGACUUGUAUACGGCUUGAGCUUCAGGCCUACAUAAAAUGUAAUUUGUAUAAAUAAUAAUUAUAAUAAUAUAUAAUUAAUAUUUUU